CCGAGCACGCCCCCUGCCGAUCUUCUUCUUUGCGCGUCUCACUCCCCCGACCCCCUUUUGUUUUCGCUUCUUUCAUUUUCCUUCUUUCGUUCCAGUGAAAUUUCAUUCCCCAUCCCUACGUUGACUUCGAUCACCACCGCAGUAACCCACCAUUUAUUGUCCUUCUCUCCACCGAACUCUCCUUGUCACACGUCCAAGUCUCCAAUUCCCUUGGUCAACCAAAGAAACCCUCCAGCAAAGUUGACUCCUCUUGCCAGAAGCCCACGCCGUUGAUUUUGAAGCAACUCCUUUCGAAGCCUUCAUCCACGCGGCUCCACGUCCAGCAACAAUCGAAGAUCCCCCCUGCAGCAACUUCUUCACGUGCCAGCUCGCCCGUCUCCACGAAGCCCACCGCCAGCAGCCAUCUCGAAGCCCGCUUCAGCCUUCGAAAUUCAGGAUCGAGCUCAGCUUUGCUGAGCCGUUUUGGAUCUUUUAUGGCCCGGUCUGAGCUCCGUUGGCCUCACCGUGAGCCCGAGUCUCGGCCGCCAUUGCGCCGCUGUCACCGUGAGCCGAUUUUUGUGCUAACUGGUGAGUUUUUGUUCUAAUCCCUAAUUAGUGGGCUAAUGACUCUUAGAAGUGGGUUAGUUAGCUAAUUAAUGGGUUAGUUAAGUUAAUUAGGUUUAGGAUGAUUUAGUUAGAUUAAGCAUAUAGUUAGUAUUUAGUUAGUUCAAUUAAAUUAGUUAGGUGGAUUUAGUUAGUUUAUUUAAUUAGUGCAAUUAGAUAGAAUUAGGUAGAAUGGUUAUAUUUAAUUACUAGUAGAUUAUUUAGCCUAGUUAGUUUAGGUUAAUUUAAUUAAAUGCUUUAAAUUUAUUUAUUUUGUAAUUUAUUUAAUUUUGGUAAUUUAUUUAAUUAUUAUUUAUUUUUCGAAAAUUAGACCGGGACAGCCGGUGACGGGAAUUGCAUGGUGAUUGCAAUGGUGUAUUUAAUUUAUGCAAUUGAAUGUUAAUUUGUGCAAAUUGAGUGUUGAUUUGAAUUUUGAGUAUUUAAUUCCAAAAAUUUAUGAAAUUCGAUAUUUAUUCAGAAAAUCUCAGGUGUCAGGUUUUAACAUCAAAAAUGGUUUUAUAUACUAUAUAAAAUAGUGUGAUUUUAAAUUGGAGGUUAUGAAUUUUCCGGGUCCAAUUUGACCAUGUACCCACACACGACUAUUUUACCAUGUGUUUUUAAUAUGAAGAAAAUAUACCCGGAUUGCUAUUUUAAUUGAGGCAUUUGAGUGUAAUGCACAAUAUCCUGGGUCGAGAUUGAUUGGUCGUGUGUUGGUUAAGAGAACUCAUCUCGAGCAAUUACGCCGGACGUUAUUAAAUCCUUUUUUGGGUUACUCGUGCAUUAGGGUAUCGGGUCGCAAUAGAUUCUGGAUCUAUGCUCCUUCGGGAAUGUUGUCUUUGAGAGACGAAGCCGUGAUCAAUGGGGAAGAGAUGAUGACAGCCGAACAUGGGAGUCGGUUGUGCCUUGAGUGGCUUAAUUAACAAUUGGAACGCAUGAUUGUAUGAGUUUGAUGCGCCUGAUUAUGAGACAAAACUGUGUGGCAUGGUAUGGGACGUGUCAUACGAUUUGGCAUUAUAAUCGGGACCCUUGUGAUUUAUUGAGUUGUUGAGGUGUUUCAAUUGUUAUGUGUAUUAAUUGUAUGCAAUUUUGAUAUGAAUUGUAUUGACCUGCAGGGAGGAUCUGAGACAAGGUAAACCUCUGUGCUAAUUGUGUGAUUGUGUGGUUAGGACACUUCUAGGUGUAUUUCCCUCCUAAUCGGGGUUUAGAGUGUGAACUCGUUGAGAUUUUUAUCUCACCCCGUCGUUGGCUUAAAUUUCAGAGUCGUAGAGGGAGGACCUGAAGCUGAGCUAAGGUGACCUGAAGAGUAGGUCAAAUAGGACAGCCUUUUUGGGAGUCAGUCUUUUGAAAUCUUUUGAAUAUGGGAUUUUGUACUUGACUUAAUAUGUUUAUAAAAUCAUGUUUGUUUUGUGAAUUGUUGUCCAGCUUUUCUAUCUUGAGAUGGUUACUCUUAGGGGAUUUGUUAUUCGCUUCCGCAUGAGCAAUAAAAUGAAAGGGUCAACGACUUGUCCUAGGAAGUCGCAUAUUUUUAUUGACCAGAGUGGGAUGGGCACGCGCUCGAGAAUCAAGGCGUGACAUCACCAGUGUAGGCUUAGGCAUCCCUUACCCUAGAUUAGCAAGGGCCGCCGACCUGGUGAGGGCUUCCUUGCCUAGGCCCAAGCAUCCCUUGCUUGAGGCUGAUGAGGGCAACCCUUUGCCAAAUCGGGCGAUGGGAAGAUCUUUUGGUGCUUUGUAAUCAUUUGGUGACCUUUUGCCUAGAAACACAACAUAAUGAUUACAUUGAAAGAAAUAUUUAGAAGAAUGAAUAUCAUGCAAUAAGAGAUAAGAGUCGGUUGAUAACAUUAAGUAAUUCAUAUGCAGGUUCCUGUGAAACUUGGAAAUGAUUCAUCUGAUCAUGAUGCUUUGAAGAUGGUGGUUGCCAAGGGAAUGAGAAGAGAGGUAAUUGUUAUGUGCAGAAGUCGAUGUAUGGAGACAACACAUUUUGACAUUACCAACAUGGAAACUGUUUUAGGUAGCAAGAGCAAUAACAGGGCUUGGUGAAGGAAGAGUUACAUAAAUCUGAAAUUGUUGGACAUAGCAAUAAAACUCCACUAUAUCAAAAACCUUCAAGCAAUAUGCGGAAGCCAAGUCGAAUGUGACUCUUCACCUCCACUCUACAUCAAUUCCUUUCCAGGUUCAUCGGGGAUUGGCGUGUCCUUUGUGUAAGUAGUCAAGCACUAGCAUAUACCAUGGGAAAAGAUGAACUAAGUUGGGAUGCCAAGAAAUUUUCAUCAUUCAAUGCGUGGUUAGGGAAACCAAUAUAACAAGAG
rnacentral:lncRNA from 1 species